rnacentral:rRNA from 1 species
GGGGAAUAUUGCACAAUGGGCGAAAGCCUGAUGCAGCAACGCCGCGUGAGUGAUGAAGGUCUUCGGAUCGUAAAGCUCUGUUGUAAGUCAAGAACGGGUGUGAGAGUGGAAAGUUCACACUGUGACGGUAGCUUACCAGAAAGGGACGGCUAACUACGUGCCAGCAGCCGCGGUAAUACGUAGGUCCCGAGCGUUGUCCGGAUUUAUUGGGCGUAAAGCGAGCGCAGGCGGUUUGAUAAGUCUGAAGUUAAAGGCUGUGGCUCAACCAUAGUUCGCUUUGGAAACUGUCAAACUUGAGUGCAGAAGGGGAGAGUGGAAUUCCAUGUGUAGCGGUGAAAUGCGUAGAUAUAUGGAGGAACACCGGUGGCGAAAGCGGCUCUCUGGUCUGUAACUGACGCUGAGGCUCGAAAGCGUGGGGAGCGAACAGGAUUAGAUACCCUGGUAGUCCACGCCGUAAACGAUGAGUGCUAGGUGUUGGAUCCUUUCCGGGAUUCAGUGCCGCAGCUAACGCAUUAAGCACUCCGCCUGGGGGAGUACGACCGCAAGGUUGAAAC